UGGCGGGCCUUAGGCGGGGGGCUAGGGGUCCUCUGAAAGGCUUUGCCUGACCAUAAAUCCUCUAUACGAUGGGCUAACAGCUGAGGCUGAGGUGUCAAAGAGCGUGAGGCUCUGCCUAUCCUUGCAAUGAAUAUCCGUCCCUUGGGGCUGGCGGUCACGCGGCUGUCUCUGUAGGGAGGCUGUUUCCGUGUUUGUUAGGCGAACCUGGCCAGGACCGGGAGGGAGCAACCUAAGUCUAAACGUUUGGCGCUCAAGGGGGUGCGGAUACGAGACAAGAGUAGGUGUGAGCCUGGCGAAAACUGGGCAUCGAAUCUCAGUGACCCGUCA
rnacentral:SRP_RNA from 1 species